rnacentral:rRNA from 1 species
ACAAUGGUUGGUACAACGAGUUGCGAGUCGGUGACGGCGAGCUAAUCUCUUAAAGCCAAUCUCAGUUCGGAUUGUAGGCUGCAACUCGCCUACAUGAAGUCGGAAUCGCUAGUAAUCGCGGAUCAGCACGCCGCGGUGAAUACGUUCCCGGGGCUU